GUGUCAGCCGCCGCGGUAAUACGGGGGGGGCAAGCGUUGUUCGGAAUUACUGGGCGUAAAGGGCGCGUAGGCGGUUUGCUAAGUUGGAUGUGAAAACUCUGGGCUUAACCCAGAGCCUGCAUCCAAAACUGGCAAGCUGGAGUUUUGGAGGGGGAAGCGGAAUUCCUGGUGUAGCAGUGAAAUGCGUAGAUAUCAGGAGGAACACCGGUGGCGAAGGCGGCUUCCUGGACAAAAACUGACGCUGAGGCGCGAAAGCUAGGGGAGCAAACAGGAUUAGAAACCCUCGUAGUCC
rnacentral:rRNA from 1 species